UUAAAACAACCGGGAGCUCCACGGUUUCAGAACCACCCGUGUUCGUGUCUGCUGCAUGGGGGAAGUUAGAAUAUCUGCUUGGUAGGGUUGUGGUGCCCGUUACGUAGUUCGGCUAAUGGAAAGGGCUGAGCGUCGUGUCUGACUCGGGGCGAUGGUCGGGUCACAGCGACUUCUGAGAAGACGGACGUUCCUCUUUCCUGUGCUGAGGGUUUAACUUUGGGGGUGAAGGCGGCGUGCAUGUAAAGCCGUAGGCUCUUGUACCCCGUAAGGCGUCACGUCAGCCCAAGUGCCAACGGACGGUUGUGGGGACGGGGACAGAGAAACGCUGCCACCCUCCUGUUGGCCCCAGCAGCGCAACGUGAAGGGGGAGCCCCCCAGCCCCCACGCCUCAGGGGCGCGGAGGGAGCCGGUUAGCCGAGAGACAGGAAGGACAGUGCCGUGGAUCCCGGAAGUGUCAGGGCAGGGAGGCUCCUGGAGCUGGCCCAAGGAUGGACUGUCUCGUGUCACCUCGAAGCGCCUUCCUUGGUGGGACCCGUGGAGGCGGCCCUGGAGGCGCCCGGCAGCCGAUUCGGACACAGAAUCAUAAGGAUUAGUCUGCAGCCAGCAGAAAGGAAUAUCCCGCAGGAGGAAAAGAGGGAAGCUUUAGAAAUGUCAUCACAGAAGAGUCCUUGCAAUGAUAGAGGACGUCUGCUAUCACUGUGAUGGCGGGGAUCCGCAAGCUGGACCUAACAGGAGAUGAAAUCUAACCAGAGAAUGGCCUCCUGAGAUCAGAAGAUGCCACUGUGGACACUAAUAUCCCUCUAACUUCUGACAAUAACAUUUGGGGGUGAUUAGAGACGCCAAAACAUCUGUCCCAAAUAUCUUCAUCUGUAGACCAACCAGAACGACUACUGUUCUGGAAACGACAAUCCCAUCAAUUCGCAGUCGUGAGUCACAAAUACAGUAAAACUAUUGAAAUAAAACUAUCUACAGAUGGA